rnacentral:lncRNA from 1 species
AGCAUCUAAGACGAAAACAGGCAGUGACUUGACUUUUAACCCUGCACAGUGCUAACGUUAACUCACUUACGGGUAUCUACUAACUAACUUACAAGUAUAUACUACAUACAUACUACACAGAGUCUAAGAGCAAGUCCAUGGCGAGGGGUGGAUGACGCUAGUAAAUUGUCCAGUUCUGGGCCCAUUCACCUGCUAAGCCUGGCAACUUAGCAAGCCAACAAUUCAAGGAUUCAACCUGAAUCCUUUGUUUAUUGUGGAUUUUUUUUUUGCUUUCUUUUUUCUUUUUUUUUUUUUUUUCCCUUGUUAUGGAGCCCACUGCACAUGGCGUACAUACAUCUCAGACAUACCCUUACUAAAAGGUGGUAUCGCGGUAUGUACGACUACGACGACAUGCGGAGUAAAUUAAUAGCCCAUUCAAUUGAUAUACCAUACAUACGUAUGAUAUUACGACGAUCAACUACUCUCUGUACAUGGUACAUACUACAUAGUUAUUAGUAGCCGUGCUAGAGUCAGGAUUGACGCUCAUUUGGGGCUGGCUCGGUUUCUGAUUCGGCACUCGGCUGAAACUGGUUACUGCUGUACUAUGGUGACUUGUAUCAGUCAGUCAGUCAGUCAUGACCUUGGACUCUGUUUGUUGAAGGUAAUAUUAAAUGCCUGCCUGCGGAGUGGUCGUUAAUUAGUUAGUAAACUCCGCCGAGACUGAUGUCUUACGCCUGACUAGCCGACUAACUAGUUUCUUCAAGGUCAUAUGUCCAGGCCAGCCAAGUACGAAGGUCACAAAGAGUACUCUGUAUGGAUCAUCCGUAUGGUCACAGAGCCCCCCCCCCCCAAGGUCCAUAGAUCGGUGAUUCAUGAUACGACGAUGAUACACCGUCAUACACGGAACGGAGCAUUUCUGGCGAUCUGAUUGGCCGCGACAACGUUUGGUACGAGCUAAUUUUGUAUUUUCUGACAUAUUGACAAUUUGACACAGACUGGGACAUCCAAAUAUGAUCCAUAAUUCCAUAUGCGAAGUUAGUAUUACAUCGUAUACAGAGGAAGUAUGGCUCGGAAUAAGGCUUCCAACUGGCUGACGACGCCGCAGCCAAACAUGGACGAUUCGUGAAGAAUCAAGAAAGGGGGACGGAUCGGCCAAUCAGACCGAAGGGACAAAAAUGAGAAACGAGGGCGUUAGAGAUAGUUAGUUAGUACGUACGUAGCUAACUAACUAACUACUCUCGGAGUAGUUAGCAGGCAAGCGAAAAGAAAGCGAAAGGAAUGAGCUGUACUGAGUAGCACCGCUAGCACAGAAAAAGGAAAGAGCACGCAUUCCGCCCAAUAGCACCGCGUCCCGCUAGGCCGAGAGCGGUUAUAUUGCGUGGACGCAGUGGCCAGACUGGGACUGGCGGGGGUCAUGUCCAUUUCUCGGCUCACCCAGCCAGUUACCACUUUCUUUCUUUCUUUCUUUCUUUCUUUCGGUUCUUUCUUUUUGAGGUCCAAUGUUUGAUAUCGUACCGACGGUCGACCGGCCUGGAUGCAGGCGGCAAAUGCUGAUGACUUACUGAAGUUACAUGCGGCAAAGCAAAGUCACUCGAGCCUCUCUGCCUUGGCCGUCUGAUUGGUCUGGAGAAAUGAAGUCAAACUUACAAGACGGAGAAUACACGGAAUUGCGCUGGUGGUACGAUAGGCCUCGUGAAGGCGGCGUGAUCGCCGUAAUCUUCGUAAUCGGAAUCGCCGUAAUUACCAUCUUCGCUUCUCUUCUCCGUGGAGACCGGACCAGGCUAUGCUACACAUAAUACGGCCUGCCUGUAGUAGUAAUAGUACUACUACUGUACGGUGUAGACGUAGUAACUAGUUAACUGUGGUUGAGACGUAGACUUGACUUGCCUUGACUCUCAUCGCCCCGACCGACCGGUCAGCUCAUCCAUGACCAUCCGGCGUACCACACCAACUACAGCAUGUACGAUGGAUACAUACUCUACAUACGUAGUAUAUUCCACUCCAACUCCAUAGUAAUCCACCCCACCGUCAACGACUGUCUCUGGUCUUACCAACCGAGGGGGUCAAAGACAAUAUAACUUUCAUUUCUUUUAGCCUAUUAGACAGCCUGUGUAGUCUGUACGUCCUUGGUAUUUCCAGAUCGGCUUUACCCACACAACUCGCCACGAGCGGCAUUGCGUUGCGUUGCGUUGCGUUGCGUUAUGUUUCAACGCGACAUAUUUUGCCUAAGCCUCUGGUCGUCAUUUCUUGUGUGAACGUUCUAUCCGGAUGGAUGAUUCGUUAAUUUGUCCAGUAAACUCUAUGUAAGACGGCCGGGGCACUUCUGUACCCAGCCGGGUCUGGUCCCGUCUGUCUGUGCGUGUGUUUUUAUGAGCAAAUUGACAGUGAAAAAGCCUGAAAGUGACCUCCUCCAUACACUGCGUACAGACGGACAACGCCCGUCACAACGGACUCUAACUACUACCGGUAGUACCGCUGAUAACUUAGUGCAGAGGACGUACCGCUCUGCUUCCCUGGCAAGCCCUGAUUCGUGCUCGAGACUGGUUACGCCCAUCCUCUACUCGGUCGAGGUGACUCCUCCAUACGUAGUAGUACUACGUAGUAGGUGGCUAGAGUCGUGAGACCUGUAAAGAAUUAACUAAUAUUCGCCACGAACUGAUUAUCAUAUACAAGAAUGGUAAUUAAGCCGACCUCCAAUCCGACUUCCGAGUCUUUUUUUUUUUUUUUUUUUUUUUUUUUUUUUUUUUUUUUUUCCUUCCCACCUUCCCUUUCUUUCCAUUUUUGAUGAUCAACCGACUAGCCAUGUUUUUCAAGUCAAGUGUAUCAUCUGAAUGAAAUAAUCGGCGCUUGUGACGGUCGCCGGUCGGUGGCCGCGGAACGAACACCACCAUAUCCUCCUCUACUGAGCUGGGCCGGGCUGGGCUGGGCAGUGCUGUGGUAGAUGAAUGAUGAUGAUGAUGGAUGUGAUGCAUGCAAGGCGAUGCAUCUCGUCUUUCUGCCUACGGGAUUACUAUGUAACUUAUGCAGUGUACAGAGUAUCCGUCAACACUGCGUACCGUACCUUUGACCUUUGACACCUACGCCGAGCAUCGAUCGCUUGCCCUAUUGAAUUUGUGCAUUUCCUCGGCGUUUAUGUAUCCUCUGUCACUAACUAUGUAACUUACUAUUGAAUCUAUCAAUCUCAUAGUACGUCGUUAGCAGCCGCUUGACCACAGAGUAACUAGCACUUAACGGACUCUGUGAUGAUUAUGAGACGCAUUCCCUUCGUACCUGGGGUAAAUACUCUCUCUGUAUUGAUGGCAGUGUAUGCAAGUCUCCAUCCCAUAUCCAGUCAUCGACCAACCAGACUCGUGACUCGAUGGUGUAUCAUAUUUCAAUAAAGCGGAACACGCCGGACAACCUAGGAGAAAUGGACAUGCAUGCAAAGUAAAUAAAUAAUCCGAUCGAAUUUAACCUGAUCUGAUCUGAUCUUCAUGGAGCUGAAAUUUAAAAAAACAAACAAACAAACAAACAAACAAACAAACAAACAAACAAACACGGUUCAUAGGCUCGAAGUAUAAUAUCGGCCCUAGGGACCCCAAGGAUUGAUUGGGCGAUUGGAGACGAAAUGAAAAAUGUCGGUGAAUAAUAAAUUGAUGGUAUUAUGACUAGGUAACUGGACUUGUGAUGAGCCUUUUUGCAAGGGUGAAUUGGAUAUCCAUGCAUCACGUGGAAAGCAAUGGAGUGAUAGGUUUGAUGAGCCCGGCUGUACAUAGUAAGUAACUUAUAGUUUAGUAUAGUAACUAUAUAUUUUGGUGCCUUAUUGAAGCGUUGUAUCAACUUAUCAAGGAUGUGUCUGACUGCUCAGCCUUGCUUGAAACCUACAUACAUACGGCGGACAGAGUCAUACGGACUCAGCUAACUAACUAGUUAACUAGUUAACUAAUUAGUUAAUGAACUAGCUUUCGAUAGGUCUACUGAUCAUCGUAAAACCUAUUAAUUGUCAUUGACUCAGUGUCAGGUCAGGUCAGACCGUCGCCCCCGGAUGGAUGGACAUGGACGGGAUGGGAUGCCUACCUACAUGUAUGUACUCUGCAACUGAACCUUACUACUCCGUACAUGCGCUUCUAAUUAUUUGGCCCCCCUCGCAUUUCGUUCUGACUUUCCAAGGUUCUAUAGAACCUUUCAGCAACAACAACUGCCGAGAAGGAUAGUUAACUAUCUGGCUUUUACUCCGUCCGUUGUACCUAGUCAACCUACGUGUUGAUUUAUGCCUGUCAUUUAACUUAGCGUUGACACUAAGUUAGUUAACUUAAGUUACUUAAGUUAGGUAGCUGAUACAUUACGUACACACUGUCUUACCCUUUCGGACGAGUCCCGUUUCCAAAGAAGUUGUUUACUCGUCUUCCUCCAUGUCGAUAUAAC